rnacentral:rRNA from 1 species
UACGUAGGUGGCAAGCGUUGUCCGGAUUUACUGGGCGUAAAGAGCGCGCAGGCGGUUGGAUAAGUCGAAUGUGAAAGCCCCCGGCUCAACUGGGGAGGGUCACGCGAUACUGCUCGACUUGAAGGCAGGAGAGGGAAGUGGAAUUCCCGGUGUAGUGGUGAAAUGCGUAGAUAUCGGGAGGAACACCAGUGGCGAAGGCGACUUCCUGGCCUGUUCUUGACGCUGAGGCGCGAAAGCUAGGGUAGCAAACGGG